rnacentral:rRNA from 1 species
CCUACGGGGGGCAGCAGUGAGGAAUAUUGGUCAAUGGGCGGAAGCCUGAACCAGCCAAGUCGCGUGAGGGAAUAAGGCCCUACGGGUCGUAAACCUCUUUUGCCAGGGGACAAAGGCGGCCACGGGUGGCCGUAAGAGGGUACCUGGGGAAAAAGCAUCGGCUAACUCCGUGCCAGCAGCCGCGGUAAUACGGAGGAUGCGAGCGUUAUCCGGAUUUAUUGGGUUUAAAGGGUGCGCAGGCGGCGUGUCAAGUCAGCGGUAAAAUGUCGGGGCUCAACCCCGGCCGGCCGUUGAAACUGGCGUGC